rnacentral:rRNA from 1 species
AGAGUUUGAUCAUGGCUCAGAGCGAACGCUGGCGGCAGGCUUAACACAUGCGUCGAACGGGCACCUUCGGGUGUCAGUGGCAGACGGGUGAGUAACACGUGGGAACGUGCCCUUUGGUUCGGGACAACUCCGGGAAACUGGAGCUAAUACCGGAUAAGCCCUUCGGGGGAAAGAUUUAUUGCCAAAGGAUCGGCCCGCGUCUGAUUAGCUAGUUGGUGAGGUAAUGGCUCACCAAGGCGACGAUCAGUAGCUGGUCUGAGAGGAUGAUCAGCCACACUGGGACUGAGACACGGCCCAGACUCCUACGGGAGGCAGCAGUGGGGAAUAUUGGACAAUGGGCGCAAGCCUGAUCCAGCCAUGCCGCGUGAGUGAUGAAGGCCCUAGGGUUGUAAAGCUCUUUUAGCGGGGAAGAUAAUGACGGUACCCGCAGAAUAAGCCCCGGCUAACUUCGUGCCAGCAGCCGCGGUAAUACGAAGGGGGCUAGCGUUGCUCGGAAUCACUGGGCGUAAAGGGCGCGUAGGCGGAUCUUUAAGUCGGGGGUGAAAGCCCAGGGCUCAACCCUGGAAUUGCCUUCGAUACUGAAGAUCUCGAGACCGGAAGAGGUUAGUGGAACUGCGAGUGUAGAGGUGAAAUUCGUAGAUAUUCGCAAGAACACCAGUGGCGAAGGCGGCUAACUGGUCCGGUUCUGACGCUGAGGCGCGAAAGCGUGGGGAGCAAACAGGAUUAGAUACCCUAGUAGUCC